AGAGGGGGACAACUCCUCGAAAGAGGAGCUAAUACCCGGAGGUCUGAGUGGUUAGAGAGCUUAGACUGAAGCUGAGGUGCUUCGGGAGGGGCCUGCGGGCUAUCAGCUAGUUGGUGGGGUAAAGGCCUACCAAGGCGAAGACGGCUAGGGGGCGUGAGAGCGUGGUCCCCCACAAUGGAACUGAGACACGGUCCAUACUCCUACGGGAGGCAGCAGUGAGGAAUAUUGAGCAAUGGGCGCAAGCCUGACUCAGCAACGCCGCGUGGAUGAAGAAGGCCUUCGGGUUGUAAAAUCCUUUUCUGUGGGGCGAUGAUGACGGUACCACAGGAAUAAGUUCCGGCUAACUACGUGCCAGCAGCCGCGGUAAAACGUAGGGAACGAGCGUUAUCCGGAUUUACUGGGCGUAAAGCGCACGCAGGCGGUUUGGGAAGUUGGACGUGAAAACUCCUGGCUUAACUGGGAGAGGUCGUACAAAACUACCAAGCUAGAGGUUGGAAGAGGAGAGUGGAAUUCCCGGUGUAGUGGUGGAAUGCGUAGAUAUCGGGAGGAACACCAGUGGUGAAACGGCUCUCUGGUCCAAUACUGACGCUGAGGUGCGAAAGCGUGGGGAGCGAACGGGAUUAGAUACCCCGGUAGUCCACGCUGUAAACGAUGGAUACUAGGUGUAGGGGGUCAUUUACCCCUUCUGUGCCGAAGCUAACGCGUUAAGUAUCCCGCCUGGGGAGUACGGCCGCAAGGCUAAAACUCAAAGGAAUUGACGGGGGCCCGCACAAGCAGCGGAGCGUGUGGUCUAAUUCGAUGCAACACGAAGA
rnacentral:rRNA from 1 species